AAGGACGCAAAGCGGUCUUUCCAGGUUCUACAUGUCCUUU
rnacentral:sRNA from 1 species